GUUGUGGCUCAGCGGUAGAGCGCUUGCCUGACAAGUGUGAGGUCCUGGGUUCAAUCCUCAGCACACA
rnacentral:tRNA from 1 species